UACGUAGGGGGCAAGCGUUGUCCGGAAUCAUUGGGCGUAAAGCGCGUGUAGGCGGCCCGAUAAGUCCGCUGUGAAAGUCCAGGGCUCAACCCUGGAAUGCCGGUGGAUACUGUCGGGCUAGAGUCCGGAAGAGGCGAGUGGAAUUCCCAGUGUAGCGGUGAAAUGCGCAGAUAUUGGGAGGAACACCAGCGGCGAAGGCGGCACUCUGGGCUGGUACUGACGCUGAGGAGCGAAAGCGUGGGUAGCGAACAGG
rnacentral:rRNA from 1 species